AUGGAAGCUCUUGGGAAGGCGGAAGUUGCACGUGCUCUCACAGUCAACUGUGCUGGAAUAGGAGGCCAGGAACCACCUCUGUUGGAGGAGGAGGACCCAUCGGGCAUCCCUUCAAGAAUGCCAAGGUCCACAGCAAACGCUUCCCUUCUAUGGGCACAGGAGGGCUGUGGGAGCCCAGAAAAUGUGCUUCUGGCCAGAGACAUGAAACAACCAUUUCAACCAGCUUGGACAAAAAAGAGAAGCCAAGAUGGGGCUGAGAAACCAAUGCAGCCGGGCCCAGGGAUCCAGGACUCAGGGACCAGGUGCUGCCGGAUGUUUGCUCUGACUCGUGUUGCUGCUGUCUUCUCUGUGCCUCAACUCUGUCCUCUGUCACUGCAGGCAGCUUCCUCCCAAGGUGGGGAGAGAAUGAAGAAAAAUUGAGAGGCUGGAGACACCAGAGAGCCCUUGAGGAUCGCCAGCCGGGAUGCGAGCAGGAGCUGAGGCAUUAGGAGUCUCGGAAAACGAUGUGGCCUGGACGCUGGGCAGACUCUGCUCCUUGGAGCAAGAAGCAAAGGGGAAUUGCUUGAAAGGUGAGUGAUGUGUGGAAGAG
rnacentral:lncRNA from 10 species